GCGUCUUCCGCUCUCUUACGGCCUCUCAUCAAUUGAAAGGUUACUGUUACUUCAUUACACUUGGCUAAGCUUGCAAAGUUGCAAAUCCAAACUUUUAUAUUACAGAGGAACAUUCGCUUCAACGACAAGCAAUGGAGCCCCAUAGCCAGCAAUUACCUGUUGUUGGUACCCUCCAAAACCUUCCUGAAACGCCCACUUCCAAAUUUCCGACCAAUAUUGUUCACAAAGUGAGAGAAAAUUUGGUCUUUCAAUCAAAAUGGGCAGAAAUCAAUGGUGCCAUGGGAGACUUAGGCACUUACAUCCCAAUAGUCAUGGCCUUGACCCUAGCCAGUGACCUUAACCUGGGCACAACGCUAAUAUUCACUGGCAUGUAUAAUAUUGUCACUGGUGCAAUUUAUGGCGUGCCAAUGCCAGUACAGCCCAUGAAAUCAAUUGCUGCUGUUGCUAUAUCAAACAAAGAAGAAUUUGGCAUCCCAGAAGUUAUGGCAGCAGGAAUUUGCACUGGGGGAAUUCUAUUGAUUUUGGGUUGCACAGGUUUGAUGCAGCUAGUUUAUAGGCUAAUUCCACUAUCUGUUGUUCGGGGGAUUCAGCUUUCACAAGGGUUAUCAUUUGCAAUGACUGCUGUUAAGUAUAUUAGGAAGGAUCAGAACUUUUCCAAGUCAAAGUCAGGUGGAGAUCGACCCUGGUUGGGGUUGGAUGGGUUGGUUUUGGCUGUAUUUUGUGCUUGCUUUAUUACUGUGGUCAAUGGUGCAGGGGAGGAUAGAGGAGAAAGAGAGAUUAAUAAUAGCAAUUUGUGUGAAGAAGAAAGGCAUAGGAGUAGGAGGAGGAGAAUUAGGAAAAUUAUUUCCUCACUUCCCUCUGCUUUUAUGGUCUUCUUGCUGGGUGUGGUUUUGGCAAUUAUAAGGAGGCCUAAAGUGGUGCAGGAUAUUAAAUUAGGACCAUCUUCUAUUCAGGCGGUGAAAAUCUCCAAGCAUGCUUGGAAAGAAGGGUUUAUCAAGGGCACAAUUCCUCAACUUCCUUUAUCAAUUCUAAAUUCUGUCAUUGCUGUGUGUAAGCUGUCAGCUGAUCUUUUUCCAGGCAAGGACUUCUCUGCUACCUCUCUUUCAGUGACUGUAGGCCUAAUGAACUUAGUGGGAUGUUGGUUUGGGGCCAUGCCCUGUUGCCAUGGUGCAGGAGGCCUUGCUGGUCAGUACAAGUUUGGAGGUAGGAGUGGUGGGUGUGUUACCCUUCUGGGAGCAGCCAAAAUGGUCUUGGGCUUGCUUAUAGGGAGUUCUUUAGUGAUGGUUUUGGACCAAUUCCCAGUUGGGGUCUUAGGAGUGCUACUCUUGUUUGCUGGAAUAGAGCUAGCUAUGGCUUCAAGAGACAUGAACACAAAGGACGAAUCCUUUGUGAUGCUUAUAUGCACUGCAGUUUCGCUUGUGGGUUCUAGUGCAGCACUUGGCUUUGUGUGUGGGAUUGUUGCGCAUGUUCUUCUUAAGUUGAGAUCUGGCAUUAUGCAUAGCACAAGAAUUCCAUAGAAAUUUAAAUUUGUAUUGGGAUUUUUAUUUUCUGCCUUUUCGUCAGGGCACUGUGAUUCUGUGAAUCCAAUGUCCCUUCCAAGUUAUGAAAACAAAUAAAAACUUUUAGUGUACUACUUUUUCUUUAAUUUGAAGUGGUCUUAUUCAGCCCCUGGCUCUCUGCAUUAUCACUGAAGUUUCCUCUCCCUGGCUACUUCCAUACCUCUCAUCCUCUCUGCUUCCUAACUUAUUCGUGGGAAAGCGCAGAUGUAGAGGAUAUUUUGAACCCCAUGUUGUUCUUUAGCUAAAUGAUUCACUGAAACAUUCUUGUUUAUACGUUUAAACUUGUUAAGUUAUUGUCAUUUACUGCUAAAAUGUGAUCAAUAGCUUAUCUGCAUUUGUCUUUCACCAGUUUCUGACAAGCAAGCACUGAUGCGGCUUUCUCUUCGCACUAAGAAUAGAUAACAUAACCAAUGAGCUUUGGUUCAAUGGCAUUAGAGUCGUGUUUAGAGUAGUGAGGUUAUGAGUUCGAACCU
rnacentral:misc_RNA from 1 species